rnacentral:tRNA from 1 species
ACUAUUUUGACAGAUUAAUGUAUUGAAUUUAGAAUUCAUAAAUGUAAAUUUUUUUUGCAAAUAGUA